rnacentral:rRNA from 1 species
UAGGGAAUCUUCCACAAUGGACGCAAGUCUGAUGGAGCAACGCCGCGUGAGUGAAGAAGGGUUUCGGCUCGUAAAGCUCUGUUGGUAGUGAAGAAAGAUAGAGGUAGUAACUGGCCUUUAUUUGACGGUAAUUACUUAGAAAGUCACGGCUAACUACGUGCCAGCAGCCGCGGUAAUACGUAGGUGGCAAGCGUUGUCCGGAUUUAUUGGGCGUAAAGCGAGUGCAGGCGGUUCAAUAAGUCUGAUGUGAAAGCCUUCGGCUCAACCGGAGAAUUGCAUCAGAAACUGUUGAACUUGAGUGCAGAAGAGGAGAGUGGAACUCCAUGUGUAGCGGUGGAAUGCGUAGAUAUAUGGAAGAACACCAGUGGCGAAGGCGGCUCUCUGGUCUGCAACUGACGCUGAGGCUCGAAAGCAUGGGUAGCGAACAGGAUUAGAUACCCUGGUAGUCCAUGCCGUAAACGAUGAGUGCUAAGUGUUGGGAGGUUUCCGCCUCUCAGUGCUGCAGCUAACGCAUUAAGCACUCCGCCUGGGGAGUACGACCGCAAGGUUG